rnacentral:rRNA from 1 species
AUUGAACGCUGGCGGCAGGCCUAACACAUGCAAGUCGAACGGUAGCACAGAGAGCUUGCUCUCGGGUGACGAGUGGCGGACGGGUGAGUAAUGUCUGGGAAACUGCCCGAUGGAGGGGGAUAACUACUGGAAACGGUAGCUAAUACCGCAUAACGUCGCAAGACCAAAGUGGGGGACCUUCGGGCCUCACACCAUCGGAUGUGCCCAGAUGGGAUUAGCUAGUAGGUGGGGUAAUGGCUCACCUAGGCGACGAUCCCUAGCUGGUCUGAGAGGAUGACCAGCCACACUGGAACUGAGACACGGUCCAGACUCCUACGGGAGGCAGCAGUGGGGAAUAUUGCACAAUGGGCGCAAGCCUGAUGCAGCCAUGCCGCGUGUAUGAAGAAGGCCUUCGGGUUGUAAAGUACUUUCAGCGGGGAGGAAGGCGGUGAAGUUAAUAACCGCGUUCAUUGACGUUACCCGCAGAAGAAGCACCGGCUAACUCCGUGCCAGCCGCCGCCGUAA